UACAGAGGUCCCGAGCGUUGUUCGGAUUCACUGGGCGUAAAGGGUGCGUAGGUGGUGAGGUAAGUCGGAUGUGAAAUCUCCAAGCUCAACUUGGAAAUGGCAUUGGAAACUACCUUGCUGGAGGUUUGGAGGGGGACUGGAAUUCUCGGUGUAGCAGUGAAAUGCGUAGAUAUCUGGAGGAACACCGGUGGCGAAGGCGACAUCCUGGACCGGUAUUGACGCUGAGGCGCGAAAGCCAGGGGAGCAAACGGG
rnacentral:rRNA from 1 species